UGGGGAAUAUUGGACAAUGGGCGCAAGCCUGAUCCAGCAAUGCCGCGUGUGUGAAGAAGGCCUUCGGGUUGUAAAGCACUUUUAUCAGGAGCGAAACGCUGUCGGCUAAUACCCGGCGGAACUGACGGUACCUGAGGAAUAAGCACCGGCUAACUUCGUGCCAGCAGCCGCGGUAAUACGAAGGGUGCAAGCGUUAAUCGGAAUUACUGGGCGUAAAGCGUGCGUAGGCGGUUUCUUAAGUCUGCUGUGAAAUCCCCGGGCUCAACCUGGGAAUGGCAGUGGAUACUGGGAGGCUAGAGUGUGUCAGAGGGUGGUGGAAUUCCCGGUGUAGCGGUGAAAUGCGUAGAGAUCGGGAGGAACAUCAGUGGCGAAGGCGGCCACCUGGGACAACACUGACGCUGAGGCACGAAAGCGUGGGGGAGCAAACAGGAUUAGAUACCCUGGUAGUCCACGCCCUAAACGAUGCGAACUGGAUGUUGGUCUCAACUCGGAGAUCAGUGUCGAAGCUAACGCGUUAAGUUCGCCGCCUGGGGAGUACGGUCGCAAGACUGAAACUUAAAGG
rnacentral:rRNA from 1 species